UACGUAGGUGGCAAGCGUUGUCCGGAUUUACUGGGCGUAAAGAGCUCGUAGGCGGCUUGUCGCGUCGUCCGUGAAAACCCACAGCUCAACUGUGGGCUUGCGGUCGAUACGGGCAGGCUAGAGUUCGGUAGGGGAGACUGGAAUUCCUGGUGUAGCGGUGAAAUGCGCAGAUAUCAGGAGGAACACCGGUGGCGAAGGCGGGUCUCUGGGCCGAUACUGACGCUGAGGAGCGAAAGCGUGGGGAGCGAACAGG
rnacentral:rRNA from 1 species